GUAUCAUAUUUCAUAUACUAUUGUCAUUUGAAGUACGCAUCGAAAAAUGGUGGAUGAUAGUAGGAAUCGAGAAUUUAGUAUUGAAUAUCUUAAAUUUAAAGAGUUUUAAGUGAAACAAUAUAUUAUAUAUUUUACUUGUAACUCAAAACGUUGAGAAUGGGUUCAAAUAAACGACAUAAGACCGAGAAGAGCCGAGAUACUAAGAAGAAGCGUCAUCGUAGCCGUUCACGAAGUUAUACGCCUGAACGUGAGAAAUCGGAAAAACAUAGGCAUCACAAAAAGCAUAGAAGGAAAGAACGCAAGGAUUAUGACAGCGAUGUUGAAAUAGUUAAUGCACCUCCUCCACCAAAAAUCUCUAAGUCUUCACAUCCGUCAACACCUCCACCUCCUGAAAUUUCUAAGCAACAUAGUCCUUCGCCAAGUAAAGGUGGAACACAAACUUCCCUAUCUAUUGAAGAAACUAACAAAUUAAGAGCAAAAUUAGGCUUAAAGCCAUUAGAAAUUGAUAAUGCUCCAAAAGAUGAUCCUAACAAAAUUAAAGAUGAUUUGGGAGAAUUUUAUCACAAACCUGCUCCUGAUGUUAAUGAAAAAUUAAAAACUCAAAAAUUAAAGGAAAAAAUUGGUACUCAAAAACAAAAGAGAUUAAUUGAGGCUAAUUUAGCAAAAGUAAAAAGUUUAGGUGAAUGUGAUUCUGAUGAUGAUACUAAAAAUUGGGUUGAUAAAAGCAGACGUUUAGAAGAAGAGAAGAAAAAAGCAGAAGAAAGGGCAAAAAUGUUAGAUCAAUUAGAUGAGGAAUUUGGAAUUGGAAAUUUGGUUAAAGAAGAAAUUCAUGCUGCACGUAAUUUGGCUUAUACUGAAAAAAAUUUAAAAGGCCUCAAAGUAGAGCAUAACAUUGAUAAAUUUGAAGAAGGCAAAACAGUCAUCUUAACAUUAAAAGAUCAGGAAGUGUUACAAGAAGGAGAAGAUGUACUCGUUAACGUAAAUAUAACGGAUGAGGAACGUUAUCAACGCAAUAUUUUAAAUAGAUCUAAAAAGCCUGGUUAUGAUGCAUAUGAUGACGAUAAUUUUGAUGAGUUUGGUUUUCCAAAAAAAACAAUUUUAGAAAAAUAUGAUGAAGAAAUUGAAGGAGAAAAAAAGGAAACUUUCACACUUGGAAUUAAUAAUAUUAAAGAUGUUAAGCAAAACAAACUCGAUUAUGUUAAGCAACGUUUAGCAAAUAAGCGGAUAGAAUCAUUACACUCAGCAGAGCCAAAAUUAGCUAGUGAAUAUUAUAAUGAAGAAGAACUUGCGAAAUUUAAAAAACCAAAGAAAAAGAUCCGAAAGAUUAGAAAAAAAUUAAAAGCUGAAGAUUUAAUUCCUGAAGAUAAUGAUUAUCUUCGAGAUCUUGGAAGUAGAAGGAGCAAGCGAACAGAUGAUGUUAAAGAUAAUGAUACUUUAGAUGUAGAUGAUUUAGAGGCUCCUACUGAAGACCUUACUGGAAUUAAAUUGGAAGAAGAUGAUAAGGAAUUGGAAUUACAAUUAGCAUUGAAAAAAGCUCAACGAUUAAAAGAAUGGCAAUCAUCAAGUAUCGAAAAAGUUACAGAAACUAUAAAACAAGAACCUACAAGUUUAGAAGAAAAUCAAUCUGGAAAUAUUGUUCUUAACGCUACUGCAGAAUUUUGUAGAACAUUAGGAGAUAUUCCUACUUAUGGUCUUGCUGGAAAUAGAGAAGAGAAUGGUCAGGAAUUGAUGGACUUUGAAAUGGAUGGUGUUAAAGAAGAACCACCCAUGAACGAAGAAGAAGAUGAUGGUCGCGGUGCUUGGAAUACCGUACAUUUAGAUGAAAGCACAUCAGAACCUGUAGCUAUGGAAGCUGCAAUUUUAGACGCAGAACCUUCUCUUGGACAUGGUGUUGGUGGGGCAUUGAAAUUAGCUAUGAGUAAAGGUUAUUUGCAAAAAGAGGACAGCAGUAGACCAUCUGCAUCUCGUUUUGCACACUUGCAAGCUCAGAAUUAUUCAAUAGAAGACAAAACUUAUGGUUAACAGUCAUAAAUAAGAGAGCUCAGAUUUCGGUGCUCGGAAAAUGGAUGAUCUACUACCGCAACAAGAGAUUAACUACUUUGUCGGAGAUGAAAGGCCUGAGAAGAGAGUAGGAUUGAUAGAGAGACGAUGAUAAAUUUGGAAGAAGAGAUCGUUUUAACGGUCCAACAUCAGAAUUUAAAGAAAAAGAAGGUUUCAAACCAAAUGUUAAAUUGGAAUAUAUCGAUGACGACGGCCACGUUUUAAGUGCAAAGGAAGCUUUUCGAUAUCUUUCACAUAAAUUCCAUGGAAAAGGACCAGGAAAAAACAAGGUCGAGAAACGAAU
rnacentral:misc_RNA from 1 species